GUGUAUAUAUAUAUACACUCUCUCUCUCUCUCUCUCUCUCUAUAUAUAUAUAUAUAUAUAUAUAUAGAGAGAGAGAGAGAGAGAGAGAGAGAGAGACAGAGAGA
rnacentral:miRNA from 1 species